rnacentral:lncRNA from 1 species
AUUACCCAAUUAAUAAUCAUCAAUAAAUAUAAACUUUUAUUCUUAAAAUUUAAUGCAUUUAACUAUCAUCCUCUUACUCAGAACUCUUUCAUCAUUCAAAUCCAUCCAUAAUAUAUUUUUUACUAUUAUUUAAUAAUUUAAUUUAUAUAUUUUUAAAUAAAUUUACAAUAUAAGUAUCAUUACACUAUCUCUAUUUUCCUCUUUAUACAUUCUCUUCCCUAAUAAAAACUUUUAAUUAACUUUUACACAAAUAUUUGACCCAAGCUCAAAAUAAUAUCAUG